GCAGUAGCAGGUAUAGCAGGUAUAGCAGCAGCAGCAGUAGCAGGUAUAGCAGCAGCAGCAGCAGCAGCAGGAGCAGGUAUAGCAGCAGCAGCAGUAGCAGCAGUAGCAGCAGUAGCAGGAAUAGCAGCAGUAGCAGGUAUAGCAGGUAUAGCAGCAGCAGCAGCAGUAGCAGGUAUAGCAGCAGCAGCAGCAGCAGGAGCAGGUAUAGCAGCAGCAGCAGCAGUAGCAGCAGUAGCAGGAAUAGCAGCAGCAGCAGCAGGAGCAGGUAUAGCAGCAGCAGCAGGAGCAGGGUUAGCAGCAGUUAGGUGUGUUGCGUGUUGGGUUUGGUUUGACUCUCCCAUCGUCUGCCCCAUCCAGCCCUUAUCGCCAGCUUGAUUCCUAUGCCUAGACCCC
rnacentral:lncRNA from 1 species